UGGGGAAUAUUGCGCAAUGGGCGAAAGCCUGACGCAGCGACGCCGCGUGAGGGACGACGGCCUUCGGGUUGUAAACCUCUUUCAGCUCCGACGAAGCGAAAGUGACGGUAGGAGCAGAAGAAGCACCGGCCAACUACGUGCCAGCAGCCGCGGUAAUACGUAGGGUGCAAGCGUUGUCCGGAAUUAUUGGGCGUAAAGAGCUCGUAGGUGGCCUGUCACGUCGGCUGUGAAAACCCGGGGCUCAACCCCGGGCCUGCAGUCGAUACGGGCAGGCUAGAGUUCGGCAGGGGAGACUGGAAUUCCUGGUGUAGCGGUGAAAUGCGCAGAUAUCAGGAGGAACACCGGUGGCGAAGGCGGGUCUCUGGGCCGAAACUGACGCUGAGGAGCGAAAGCGUGGGGAGCGAACAG
rnacentral:rRNA from 1 species